UACGUAGGGUGCAAGCGUUGUCCGGAAUUAUUGGGCGUAAAGAGCUCGUAGGCGGUUUGUCGCGUCGGCUGUGAAAACCUGGGGCUUAACUCCGGGCCUGCAGCCGAUACGGGCAGACUAGAGUUCGGCAGGGGAGACUGGAAUUCCGGGUGUAGCGGUGGAAUGCGUAGAGAUCCGGAAGAACACCAGUGGCGAAGGCGGCCCGCUGGGGUGAGGCUGACGCUGAGGCGCGACAGCGUGGGGAGCAACAGG
rnacentral:rRNA from 1 species